AUUGAACGCUGGCGGCAUGCCUUACACAUGCAAGUCGAACGGCAGCACGGGUGCUUGCACCUGGUGGCGAGUGGCGAACGGGUGAGUAAUACAUCGGAACAUGUCCUGUAGUGGGGAUAGCCCGGCGAAAGCCGGAGUAAUACCGCAUACGAGCGACGGAGGAAAGCGGGGGACCUUCGGGCCUCGCGCCAGAGGGGUGGCCGAUGGCUGAUUAGCUAGUUGGUGGGGUAAAGGCCUACCAAGGCGACGAUCAGUAGCAGGUCUGAGAGGACGACCAGCCACACUGGGACUGAGACACGGCCCAGACUCCUACGGGAGGCAGCAGUGGGGAAUUUUGGACAAUGGGCGAAAGCCUUAUCCAGCAAUGCCGCGUGUGUGAAGAAGGCCUUCGGGUUGUAAAGCACUUUUGUCCGGAAAGAAAUCCUUGGCCCUAAUACGGUCGGGGGAUGACGGUACCGGAAGAAUAAGCACCGGCUAACUACGUG
rnacentral:rRNA from 1 species